CCACCCAUAGACUGCCUUCCGCCCUCCUGAUUUCUGUCGAACGCAAAUCAGGAAUACAGAGAGUCCAGAGAGGCAGCACCCCUCCUUUCAGCCCCAGAGGAAGAAGGACCAGGGGGGAGAGAACAUGCCUGUGGGGAGAGGAAUGGCUUGGACAGCUCCUGGUAUGCACUGUAGGAGACCUCAAGCUCCUGGAGAACAAAGAUUUCCCUUGAUAAUAACAGCUGCCGUCACUGAGCUCUGUCCUGCACCCUGGACACACAAAAUUUCACUCUGCCUCCCAACAGCCCUCUGCAACAGUUGUUAUUAUUGGCCCCAAGUUACAGAUGAGGAAACUGAGGCCCAAGGGUAAAGUCACCAGAGGUCAAACAGCCAGGAAAUAGCCAAGCUGCGAAUCUUUAUUCAUCUUCCUAGCCGUCACUGUCCCUGGCCCAGAGUAAGGAACUCUACUGAUGC